AUGGGAUUUGAUUCCCCUGAUCUACGAUCACCCUCUUCAAUCUAUAUUCGACAGCUUGAAGAGGGCUUGCUUCUUGCUAAAGAUAAAUUAUCUCAUUUAAGAAGGCAUCGCCUGCCCAAUGACAAGCAAAAGACGAAGAAGGAACUUACUAGACCUCCUUGCGCCCAUAGCUUGACCUCAGCCUUGAACUACCUGCACGGAAGCCUUCCCUUCCUGGCGCGCAGACAGACCAUCUUUAGUGAAGUCCCUCCUUCCCCUAAAGCAUCCAUUUCGUCAAAGAAGGACGGAGCAGGCACACUUACUACUCUGAUUGGGCGUGGACUGGGAAAAAAAAGUAGCAGCUAA
rnacentral:lncRNA from 1 species